rnacentral:tRNA from 1 species
GGAGACGUGGGUGAGUGGCUGAAACCAACGGUUUGCUAAACCGUCGUACCCUGAAUAGGGUACCCCGGGUUCGAAUCCCGGCGUCUCCG